CUGGACUCUCCAAGACUCCUAAACCCAACCCAGCCUGCAACUCCCAGAAGACAGCAGAGGUCGCUCCACCCUCAGGUGUGACUCAGGUGGAGGCCGCCCUGCCCACAGGGCCCCCGGGGGCCCAGCGGAAUCCAGUUCCCUACAGCUGCCAGGGUCCCUGCAGGAGGACCACAGCUGAUUUGUCAGCAUUACCAAGACCACCGCGUAGCAGCCCAAAUGAAACCUCACAUGGUCACCGCAGAACAGUGCAGACGCCGAGGAUGAGAGGC